rnacentral:rRNA from 1 species
AGCGAACGCUGGCGGCAGGCCUAACACAUGCAAGUCGAACGAAGCCUUCGGGCUUAGUGGCGGACGGGUGAGUAACACGUGGGAACGUACCUUUUGGUUCGGAAUAACGCAGAGAAAUUUGCGCUAAUACCGAAUGAGCCCUUCGGGGGAAAGAUUUAUCGCCGAAAGAUCGGCCCGCGUUGGAUUAGGUAGUUGGUGUGGUAAAGGCGCACCAAGCCUACGAUCCAUAGCUGAUCUGAGAGGAUGAUCAGCCACACUGGGACUGAGACACGGCCCAGACUCCUACGGGAGGCAGCAGUGGGGAAUCUUGCGCAAUGGGCGAAAGCCUGACGCAGCCAUGCCGCGUGAAUGAUGAAGGUCUUAGGAUUGUAAAAUUCUUUUACCAGGGACGAUAAUGACGGUACCUGGAGAAAAAGCCCCGGCUAACUUCGUGCCAGCAGCCGCGGUAAUAC